rnacentral:rRNA from 1 species
GAUGAACGCUGGCGGCGUGCCUAAUACAUGCAAGUCGAGCGAACAGACGAGGAGCUUGCUCCUCUGACGUUAGCGGCGGACGGGUGAGUAACACGUGGAUAACCUACCUAUAAGACUGGGAUAACUUCGGGAAACCGGAGCUAAUACCGGAUAAUAUAUUGAACCGCAUGGUUCAAUAGUGAAAGACGGUUUUGCUGUCACUUAUAGAUGGAUCCGCGCCGCAUUAGCUAGUUGGUAAGGUAACGGCUUACCAAGGCAACGAUGCGUAGCCGACCUGAGAGGGUGACCGGCCACACUGGAACUGAGACACGGUCCAGACUCCUACGGGAGGCAGCAGUAGGGAAUCUUCCGCAAUGGGCGAAAGCCUGACGGAGCGACGCCGCGUGAGUGAUGAAGGUCUUCGGAUCGUAAAACUCUGUUAUUAGGGAAGAACAAAUGUGUAAGUAACUAUGCACGUCUUGACGGUACCUAAUCAGAAAGCCACGGCUAACUACGUG